UACGGAGGUGGCAAGCGUUGCUCGGAAUCACUGGGCGUAAAGGGCGCGUAGGCGGGGAGGUAAGUCGGGUGUGAAAUCCCUCGGCCCAACUGAGGAACUGCGCCCGAGACUGCUUCUCUUGAGUCCCGGAGAGGAAGAUGGAAUUCCCGGUGUAGCGGUGAAAUGUGUAGAGAUCGGGAAGAACAUCGGUGGCGAAGGCGGUCUGCUGGGCCGUUGCUGACGCUGAGGCGCGACAGCGUGGGGAGCAAACAGG
rnacentral:rRNA from 1 species